rnacentral:antisense_RNA from 1 species
GUUGGGUAGAGCAGAGUGACCUGUAGGAAGAAUAAUGGAUGUCAGGAGGAUUACUCUGGAUGCUAUGCUGAGAAGAAACUGAAGACAAUGGUGGAAGUGGGAAAGCUUAUGACUCAGAAUAACUAUGUCUAAUAACAAAUUUUAAGUUCUCUUCAUGCAGAGCAGCUGACACAAAUCUUCAACUCAUUGAUGAUGGCAUCUGACAGUUCCAGGUAUUAAGAAGAAAGAAUCUGAGAAAUUAUGGCGUACUCAACUGUGGACAGCUGAAAGUCUGGCAUAGCGUGCCCUCAUCAUCACAAAUGGGCUCGCAUUACAAGCUACACUUAUUUGACAACUAUCAGCAUUUGUCAACUGGCACUCAGAUUUGAAGCCUCAUUUCACAACUGGAGCAAGAGAGGACAGGAAGGAAAAAUCAGAGUAAGGUUUCAAUGAGUUUCUGCAAAUUCUCAGAAGUUUUGCUGCCACUCAGUGUCACAAUAACAAAAAGAAAUAAAAAUAGCUGAUAUUUACUAAACA